rnacentral:rRNA from 1 species
UGCAGAGGUCUCAAGCGUUGUUCGGAUUCAUUGGGCGUAAAGGGUGCGUAGGUGGCGGGGUAAGUCAGGUGUGAAAUCUCGGAGCUCAACUCCGAAACUGCACUUGAUACUGCCUUGCUCGAGUACUGGAGAGGAGAUUGGAAUUUACGGUGUAGCAGUGAAAUGCGUAGAUAUCGUAAGGAAGACCAGUGGCGAAGGCGAAUCUCUGGACAGUUACUGACACUGAGGCACGAAGGCCAGGGGAGCAAACAGG